rnacentral:ncRNA from 1 species
GGGCUUACGGUGGAUACUUAGGCACCCAUAGAAGAAAAAGGGUUUGGUAAGUGAUGAAAUGAUUCAGGGAGUUGAAAAUGAGCAUAGAUCCAGAGAUUCCUGAAUAGGUUAACCUUUUUAACUGCUACUGAAUCCAUGGGCAGGAAAGAGACAAUUCGACGAACUAAAACAUCUUAGUCUCUAGAGGAAUAGAAAUCAAAAGUGAUUCUCAUAGUAGUGGCGAGUGAAAUGGGAACAACCUAAACUGUGAAAACGGGUUUGUGGGAGAGCAAAAUAUAAGCUUUGUGCUUCUAGGAAAAACGGUUGAGUCUUACACAUUAUUGAGUCUAGUAGCCAAAAGCAUCACUGGAUUAUGCUCUAACUUGAGUAACAUGGGGCACGUGGAAUCCCAUGUGAAUCAACAAGAACCACCUUGAAAGGAUAAAUACUCCUAGGUGACAGAUAAGAAAGUAGUACCAUGAGGGGAAGGUGAAAAGAACCUCCAUCAGGGAGUGAAAUAGAACAUGAAACCAUAAGCUC